AGGUCCAUGAAUCUGCGUAUGUGAGCUAGUAGCGGUUCGUGGGUAAAAUCACUGGUGAAGCCAGGGGGGAAAAGCCUUAUAACAACCUAUUUGUUGAGAUAAGUGUUGUUUGCUCUUUAUUAUUCUGUUAGUUAACAUGCCUUGCCACCGUCACAUAUUAGGCCGUCAUUGUAAAUAAUAAUUAGUUCUUUAACUGACAUGUCUAGUUAAAUAAAUUAAAAAUAAGCAGCGUUACCGGGAGCGCGGCACAGAGGAAAUAUCAACCUGCACAAAGGACGAGAUUGAACUUCAUAGAAUUUUCCCCCUUAAGCCAUAUUCUGAAGUAUUGCUAUAGAACCUCGGUUAUGUAAUUAUUACCCCAGUAUGUCUGUUUUUCGAGAAGGCGAUUCCGACGGGAUUCGUUUUACCGAACUGACAGUCAUAAUUUUUUUCCCGCAUUCACAAUUGACCAUUAUGACGGACGCCUGGAGGCUCUUCUAGGUGUGAAGAUAUUUAAUAUGUCUAGGGACAUCCUAAUAUUGGCCUAAUGGCCUUCAGUUCGGAGAAAGUCCAAAUAAUAAUGCAUAUCAAUAAGAACCGUAAACUGUAACCUACGCAGAUAUUUAAUUAACUGACAUUUGUCAAUGUAUCAAUUCAUUGACACGAUAUCGUCCACCUCAUCUUUUAAAAGAGAAGAAUGGCACUAGAAAGGUUGAUAUAUUACAGAACAGAUCGUUCAUCUAUAGGCUAUGUGCAUAGCACUUUGUUUUAAGCAUCAAUUUUUUCUUAACCAAACUGAGUGCAGCACCUGUUCAACUGUAAUAUCCCUCAAAACACGGGGAUGACGAUUUGCACGGGAUAAGUAUUAUCAGAGGACCUUGGAGUUUGUCGCAAAAAAAAAACGUUUUUUAGGGCUUAGAUAAUAACCUUCCGGCCAAGUAAAAAUUACUGACUUGGCAGAUUCAGACGGUACUAAAAUGACAAAUGCGGUGAUUUAUGCUCGUGCAAAUAAUUAUAUUACCUGAGCUCCCCCAGUAAAACUCUUCCAGUUAACACUAUCAAUGUUUGCCUUUACUGUGGGAAUUGUGGUCGAAUCAAUGCAAAAUUAGCCACUUUCAAUGCAACAUACCCGAAAACAAAACAAGCUAUGCAAGUUAUUUUGUUGUAGGCAGAACGCAUCGGAAUAUGAUUCUAUUGCAUCUAUAUAAAAAAAAACGGUGUGGCAGAACCAAUCAGAGCUGCAUUAGGCCUAUAUGCAAAUAGACCAUUGCCAUAUAUGGAUCUGUGCCAUUUUCUUUGAACUGGACUGUGUAAACAGCAUGAUAGGUCAUGAGUAAAUGCGCUUGUUUUGAGAAGCGAGAGCUGCAUAUUUGUUCAUAUCCUUUGCUAGUUAGUGAGUUAUUAGACCAGUUAUAGAUCAUUUGUAGUCAGCAAUGGGCACAACACAUGUGCAUUUCUAGACAUCUUUGAAAAGGGAGUCAGGUUUUUGUCUUGAAGGGGUGGUGUUGUAUUUUGAGACUGUCUUGAAUAAGCAAAAUUUUCACAAUAUUCAAGUUUGAGCUCAGCAGACUUGAAAUUUGCUCAGUGCCGGGAACACUAUUAAGGGAACGUUGCAUUUAUGCUUAAGGCUGAGACAAUAAGAAGACACAGUGGCAGAAUAAAUUCAACCACACCUUUGUUUCAUUACAAAACUGGAGAGAAACAUCUGUCCGGUGGAGCCCACAAAGCAUAUUGCAUGUAACAAACAGUUACAUGACCUACAUCAUGGUCAAUCAAGUUAAUGUUGCCGACACGUAACACUUUUUUGGUUACUACAUGAUACUAUAUAUGUUAUUUCGUAGUUUUGAUGUCUUCACUUCUAUUCUACAAUGUAGAAAAUAGUUUUUUUUUUUAAGUAAAAAAAAACCUUGAAUGAGUAGGUGUGUCCAAACUUUUGACUGGUAUUGUAUGUGAUAAGCAAAAUUGACACAGUUACAAUAGACAUCCACCAUAUUGGUGUUACCUGCAUUUUGUUAGCUCACAAUAAACACAACAGCUCAAUGCUGAGUAAAGAAGGUUAGUACUGUACAGGGAUGGUGAAAAGUAUUUAAACCAUCCUGCAGAAGUAAUUAGCAACCAGAAGGGGGCUCUCUUGCGUCACACUAGUGGUUGCCAAACACUUCCACGCUGUGGUUACGCACCUAAAGCCUUUGAAUAUAUCUUUCUGCGGCUUACUAACUAAACAAAAGCAAUGUUGUUCAGCACAAAUACAACAUUCUCACUCUACUCCACCAACAGGUUAGUGCAGUGUUCCUUCAUCCUGAUCCUGGGGAAUCAAAGGGGUAGACUUUGUAUUUUUUCACUAGCACUACACACCUGAUUCCACUAAUCAAAGGUUUGAUGAUGAGUUGAUUAAGAAACAUUAGGUUACUAUUUUCACUAUAGUCCUCCUUUGAUUGAUUUGAAAUGUACUGUCUGUUACCAUUUGAGGUAAUGUACACCUUGCGUUCAUAUGGUUACGUGUGUGUGUAUAUGUCUAUCAUAACCUGGUGUGUGUGUGUGUGUGUAGGGCGGGGAGGAAGAGAGCCAGUGUGAAGCAGCAGAGUCUCAGCAGCAACCUCUUCAUCCUGGAAAGAGCGGACCAAUCAGGACAGCCAUAUUUCAGUCCCGCCCCUCAGGUCCAUGAAGUAUGUCAGGAGGUGGAUGAGUUCAUCUAUGUGGCCAAUGCAGAGACGGGAAGAGGUAACACCAAGACUCCAACACAUUCCUCAUACUUGCUCCUAUUCCUAGGCCCUUGUUGCCAGCCAGAUAAUCUUGUCAAGCUAUCGCAACAUCAGGCUGGUUCCACCAGGCUACCUUCCAGGACCAGAUCCAGGGAAAGAUCAGGCUCGUUCCACCAGGCUACCUUCCAGGAUCAAAUCCAGUGAAAGGUGGUGAGGGGGACAGAUCCAGGCAUUGGUGGACCCUGCCUAGUGUUCAUCCUCCAGAACCCUCCUUGUCCUGACUUUUGUGUCCAGAGAGGAACCAGACUCAAUCAGAACCACUAGUCCCAGUACUGCUAGAUUAAAGACCAGAACCCCCAGUAUGGAUAUUGCACAGAGGCUCUGCCUGUGCCUGCUGCCCAACCCCUGGAUUGUCUGUCUGUGUAGUGUCUGUCUGUCUGUGUAAUGUCUGUCUAUGUAGUGUCUGUCUAUGUAGUGUCUGUCUGUCUAUGUAGUUUAUGUAGUGUCUGUCUGUGUAGUGUCUAUGUAGUGUCUGUCUGUUUGUGUAGUGUCUGUCUGUCUGUGUAGUGUCUGUCUGUCUAUGUAGUGUCUGUCUGUCUAUGUAGUGUCUGUCUGUCUAUGUAGUGUCUGUCUGUGUAGUUUAUGUAGUGUCUGUCUGUCUAGUGUCUGUCUGUCUAUGUAGUGUAUGUCUAUGUAGUAUCUGUCUGUCUGUGUAGUGUCUGUCUGUCUGUCUGUCUGUCUAUGGUCUAUGUAGUCUGUCUGUCUGCUAGGGUGCUCUGGUCUCAGGCUGUAGCUAUCUGUCUAAGGAACUACCUUUAGCACAAAUGCUUCUGAAGGAAUGUUCUACCUCUGAUGUGCCUUGUUUAAAUGAAUCGCAAAAUAAAAAGUCAUUAUUGGGUAUAUAUUAUUUAAUAACCCUGUAGUAAUUUUUUUGUGAAUAAGUAGUGGGUUGUGAAACAAAACAGAAGUGAAGAGAACUACUGUUUAACUGUAGCUACGGUACUUUAGUGAAGAUAAUGAAGGGUUUUGGUUAUCACAUUAUUUACUUCUACUACUACUGCGUAGUUUAGAAUAAUUUAGAAUCAUGUUGAUGUGACAAGGAAUUAUGGGUAAAAAAUAUAUAUAUACCUUUAUUUCAGCAAAUCAUGCAAUUUUCUUUAAUUUCUUUCAUGUAAGUUUUUUUUUUUUUUAUACUCCAAAGUAUUAUGCUUUUAUUUUCUUUCAUUGUUUAAAUUCAUGUUCUAAAUUACCACUGCACAAGUUGUUAUAAAGCAACUGAAAGCCUUCGGUGGGUCACAGCACAGAAACGUUGGUGAGCUGUGCAUCUGGAACAGUGAAAGGCGUUUGCUUCGUAGUCAAUCAGUAGUUCACAGGCCAACCCUUUCAUUUCUUCCUUAAUCUGCACCAUGAAAAACAACAAGAAAAGAAGAAGAAAUGGACAGGUGAAACAUCUCUCCACUAGGCACCUGUAUUCCUUCUACUGUGUUUUCAGAUGAGCGCAGACUGGAAGGAGAGGAGACAGAGGAAGUAAUUUUAAAGUAUUGAGAUGCACCCCUCUGGCUCAGGCAAUGGUACAACAUGCUACUCCAAGUUCUCUGUGAUUAUUUUCCUCUGAGGUCAGCAUUGGCACACUAAACUGAAUUCACAUCUGUCUGAUGGGGGGAGGACAAUGUUCCUAUUUACACCACAAUGUGGCAGGCCUGCUCCUGCUUCUCAGGGCCAGGGGAAGCUGUAGAAUGUAGACUAGUUGCAGCUUGGUUUACUACGUUUUGGGCAUGGGGGUUGCGCUGUGACCCCCCUGAAAACAAAUUAAAAUGAAAACUCAAACCACACAUUUCUAAACACAAUCAAGAAUGUACUGUAGCAACCCUGUGUUUAUAAGCACCAAUAUCAACUCUGCCACAUGAGCACACUUUUGUGGCACAGCACGCUGGGCUAUGGGCGGAAGGUUGGCGGUUUGAAUACCACUACGGACAAGCUCACUUUCCCUGCUUGUUAACUGUUGAUAAAGUAUGGAGGUUGUUGUCUGAUACAAUACAUUAGAGCUGGAAUCCUUAAUAUUGCAGAAUUUGUGCUGCAGUUUUAGCAUGCUGCUCAACACUCAUCACCUUCGUUUUGUCUACAAUGUCUUCUUUCAUAAACCAUGUUCAAUUACAGUA